UUUUAUAAAGGGCAAACUUAUUGAAAAAUAGGUCGCAAAGCCAUGGGUCUAAAGAUAUUUUUAUCAAUGACUGCCAGGUUGCAUCA
rnacentral:ncRNA from 1 species